GGAAACGUGACCGAGUGGCCGUAGGUGCUCCCCUGCUAAGGGAGUAUGGGGUGUAGAGCAUCAUCGAGGGUUCGAAUAACUCCGUUUCCGCCA
rnacentral:tRNA from 1 species